AUCACUUCUCUGCCUUUUGGCUAAGAUCAAGUGUAGAAAUAUAAUGUAUGCCAUGUACUAGAUGCACCUGUUAGUACAGAUUUUUUUCAAUGGAUGGAGUUUGAUAUGUAUACUAUUUUGUUAUAUUGCUCCUUUAUAUUAUCACUUGUUCCGAUCGAUGGCACAUGUACUUUCUGAGCAACACUUCA